rnacentral:misc_RNA from 1 species
CGCACAUUGCGCCCGUUAGUAUUCUGACGGGCAUGCCUGUUCGAGCGUCAUUUCAACCCUCAGGCCCAGCCUGGCGAUGGGGACUUGUAUCGCUACAAGCCCUAAAAUACAGUGGCAGGCUCUGCUAUAUUCCGAGCGCAGUAAUACUCUCGUUCAGGAUAUGUAGUGGACUCUCGCCCACCUAUAAUUUUCUAAGGUUGACCUCGGAUCAGGUAGGAAUACCCGCUGAACUUAA